AUCAAAUCUUGGUAAUAUUAUUGUUCGGUGUAUUUUUAGCCUCGUCCAUCACAUCGAUUGUCAAAAGAGAAGGUGACAGGUCUCACUGGUGUUGUGAUGUAGACAAGCCGACAACAUACACCAACAUAACUGAAAUCAAAUAUAUUAAGAUAAAUAAGACCAUAAUAAGAGAAAUCGGAACAAAUAUGACAAGGCCCUGCCAUUCUGAUGAGACACCAGAUGCUUAUGAUAGAUAUGUUCACCUCAUACCUGUUUGUCGUGUUAAAAAACCAAUUAAAUUAACUGUUGAGGAACUUGUGCCUACGAAUGUAACCGUUUCCAUUCCACAGCAAGGUGUUUGCCCUCCAGAACACACAGUGUGUUGUGAAGGCUUUCAGAAGCUGAAUGAUCAGU